rnacentral:lncRNA from 1 species
AACCCUGAGACUCAAGUUUGUAAGAGCGAAGUGGUGGCCUGGCCAUCCAGUACCCUAGGCCCCUCUGGCCCGAAGCCACAGCUGUUUUGUAAUAAAGAAACUUGGCUUCUUAGAUCCGGCUAACUUAGGCUUACACAGACUCCUCUCCUCUCCAGUCAUUCCGUUUGGGAUAAAACUUGGUUGUUAUCAAAAGAUUUAGUUUCCUUGUUUCCCUCUGCCCCUCUCCCUUCCUUCUCAGUUACGAAGCAACACAGUAUCAUGACCUAAAUCUUUAGCAGCUGAAACAUACAUCUGAGCUCUCUAAAACAGGGGCAGGCUGUGGAGAUGCAAGCCAGCCUGUGGUCACCAGGUCAAAGAGAAUUUUCGACUACCUGGGGCUGCUUCAUAGAAAGAAAGCUCCGUAGGGACAUACCCCCUACCCUGGAUUUUGUUUGUUUGUUUAAGUCAGCCAUAUUUAACACAAUUUUGGGUUGUUUUUAUAAUCCUGUGAAGUGUCUACUUCUGCUGCCAGUUAAACACACCCAGUAAAUGUUGGGUUUGUAUUUACAUAGCUGUUGGUACUGUUUAACCCUUUGAGUUGACACCAAGAAGCUGAGACCCUGGUCCCUGCUUAUCCCACAGCCUGUGAGACACUGCUUCCUCAGCAUGUGGUCUUGGGAAGUAUCUUAAAGGCAGUUAAUUGUCUCUAAAUCAGGCAAUCUAGUUAGAUAAGUAAUAUGUGAUUUUUAAAAUUUAUUUAUAUGAGUACAUUAAUGAAGUCUUCAGACACAUCAAGAAAGGGCAUCAGAUCCCAUUACAGAUGGUUGUGAGCCACCAUGUGGUUGCUGGAAAUUGAACUCAAGACCUCUGGAAGAACACUCAGUGCUCCUAAUCCCUGAGCCAUCUCUCCAGCCCCAAUAUGUGAUAUAUUUUUUAAUUACAGUUUUAUUUACUUACUUUGUGUGUGUCCAGGAGUAGGACAUGUAUGUCACAGUGGAUAUGUGAAAGUCAGAGGACAACUUCCAGAAAUUGAUCCUUGCUUCCUACUGUGGAUCCCAAGAACUGAACUCAGGUUGCCAGAUGGCAGGCACCUCUACACAUUGAGAUAUCUGGCUGAUAUCAAAGCCAGAACCUCGAAUAUGCUAAACAAGCAUUCUAGUGGUGAACUAUUCACCUAAGCAUGGUAUUUUUUAACUUGAAAAGAUGCCAGAACUU